UUCCGGUUGAUCCUGCCAGACCCGACUGCUAUCAGAGUGAGAUUAAGCCAUGCGAGUCAACGUAGCAAUACGUGGCAUACGGCUCAGUAACACGUAGUCAACAUAACCAAAGGACGUGGAUAAACUCGGGAAACUGAGGCUAAACCGCGAUAGAUCAAGAUACCUGGAAUGGUUUUUGAUCAAAAUCUAUAUGGCCUUUGGAUUGGACUGCGUCCGAUCAGGCUGUUGGUGAGGUAAUGGCCCACCAAACCUAUAACCGGUACGGGCUCUGAGAGGAGGAGCCCGGAGAUGGGUACUGAGAUAAGGACCCAGGCCCUAUGGGGCGCAGCAGGCGCGAAACCUCUGCAAUAGGCGAAAGCUUGACAGGGUUACUCUGAGUGACUUUCGUUAAGAGAGUCUUUUGACACCUCUAAAAAUGGUGUAGAAUAAGGGGUGGGCAAGUCUGGUGUCAGCCGCCGCGGUAAUACCAGCACCCCGAGUGGUCGGGACGAUUAUUGGGCCUAAAGCAUCCGUAGCCGGCCUUACAAGUCCUCCGUUAAAUCCAGCUGCUUAACAGAUGGGCUGCGGAGGAUACUAUAAGACUAGGAGGCAGGAGAGGCAAGCGGUACUCAGUGGGUAGGGGUAAAAUCCGUUGAUCCAUUGAAGACCACCAGUGGCGAAGGCGGCUUGCCAGAAUGCGCUCGACGGUGAGGGAUGAAAGCUGGGGGAGCAAACCGGAUUAGAUACCCGGGUAGUCCAGCCGUAAACGAUGCAGACUCGGUGAUGGACUAGCUUUAUGCUGGUCCAGUGCCGCAGGGAAGCCGUUAAGUCUGCCGCCUGGGUAGUACGGUCGCAAGACUGAAACUUAAAGGAAUUGGCGGG
rnacentral:rRNA from 1 species